AGUGAGGUGUGGCUGACCGUCAGCCAUCAACACCAGCAACUUGUCAGUUUUGGGAAUAUCCUCCUUCUUGGAUGGGGCAGUGUUUCCUAGCCAGUUGCCGCCAUCGAGCAGACUGAUUUGCUAGGGCAAGUCUUCCAUCGCAAUUCUACAUACUAUGUGAAAAUUUUCAUCAGACCCCACAACGAUUUGCUUUGAAUAAUAGUUUGUCUCUCUCCAGGGGAGGAGUCAGACCAACUGACCAGUAGACAGUAGCUCUUCAUGUAUUUCUGGUAGUUUUCCUCAUCUUGAAAUGUCAUAGUUAUGGUAGAUCAUGCAGAGUACAGCAUCCACUUGGGGGACUUGGAGGACUUGGAAGGCAAGCAGAUUAGAUGCAAACAGCUCAUGCUUCUUGGUAUGACGAGAGGUCCUAAACUCUGACCAGGAGUGUGGCCAACCAUCAGGCCGUGUGGCAGGCCAGAUACGGUUAGUUGGCAAGCGGUGUCCGAGCUGAGGAUUCUUCGUGGUUCUUUGACCUCGCGUUGCACCUAUGCUACAGAUGCUCCUUGAGAUACUGAUCACUGAGGCCUUUGGAGCUGCUGGGCAGUGAUUCAGGCAUGUAAGCCCUUGGGACAGCUGCCUCUUCAGAGGCUCCUCUGAAGGUAGGUCAAAGUGAAUGACAUACAUUUCUAUACAAACCAUGACGUAAAUCACUGGCCAUAUUGAUCAAAUGGGCCGGAGUCAACUAGGAUUUUAGGUAGUGGAAAUCUACAUAAACAUAUCUAGCUUUCAGCUCUACCUCCUUUUUUUUCUGAGGACCUCAACCUGCCUUAAUGGUUGUAGUUCUUACAACAGCAGUGGCACCUGAAGCUGUUGCUUCCCUAGAAAGGCUGAGCAAGAUCAACCAGGUGUCCGAGACCUGGCUUUCUGCAAGUGUUACCACUAAGUGACAAGUACCCUGUGGAGCAUUUAGAAGAGUUUAGGUUCCAGGUACUACGGAACUGUGCAUACAGCACGUUUGAGAAAUGAAUGAGAGGUGCAGAGGCAUUAGAACCUGGUAGAUUUGGCCCAGACCACAAUUAGAACCUUUGCAGCUGACAUGGAAGCAUCCAAUUUGGUGGCUCAGACUGUCCCAAAAAUGCAUCUGCAGUAGGGCAUAACUAUCAGUAAUUGACACAAACUUAAGUGUUUUUAUUUACCAGUGAAAGAAAAGCCAUUGAUUUUCAAAUAUAUAUUUAGCUUCUGAAAAUUUCUUGAAUGAUUGCAAAAAUAUUGCCUUAUAUUUUAUCACAUAGUUUGGGAGUGUAACUCAGUGGUAAAGCAUUUGCCUAGUAUGUGUGAGGCCUACCUAGGGUUCAACCUCUCAAAUCACAAGAUAGAGGGGUUUUUUUUGUUUUUGUUUUUUGUUUUUCGAGACAGGGUUUCUCUGUAUAGCCCUGGCUGUCCUGGAGCUCACUUUGUAGACCAGGCUGGCCUCGAACUCAGAAAUCCGCCUGCCUCUGCCUCCCGAGUGCUGGGAUUAAAGGCGUGCGCCAUCACACCCGGCAGAUAGAGGUAUUUUUAAAGAAAAUUACUACCCAAUACCAAUGCAUGGUUGAGUGGCUUAGGGCCUGAUAACUUUAGUUCAAUCUGUGGUACAUAUAUGGCAGAGGAAGAGAGCAACUCCAUGAAGUUCUCCUUUGAUUUCAUGGCGUACACACACACACGAUAAAUAUAAUUUUAAUUACCACCUGGUUAUGCUUCUAAAUUUAUUCACAGUGCCUAAAAGAUUGUCAGAUUUGAUAGCACGUCUAUAAUCCUAGUAUUUGGGAAGGUUGGAGUUCAAGGGCAUUCUCAGCUACACUGAUAGUUUGAGGCCAGCGAGCUAUGUUGAGACCUAGUUUCAAAAACAAAAGAAACUGAAGAUGUCAAGAAUUGUUAAGUUGUAAUUUCAAACAUAAAGUAUGCUGAUAGACUGUUUGGAAAGGCUGUACUAUGUCCCUCCAGUUUACCUCAGCAUGUGUUAUAAACACUGUUCCUUUACAUUUAUUAGGAUGUAUGGGUGUAUACUAUUUCCACAUGUGGUGGUCAGAGGACAACUUUGUGGGACUGGCUCUCAGCCUCUCCUCCACCAUAUAGAUUUUGGAGAUAGAACUCAGGUCAUCAGGCUCGGUAACAAGUACACUUACCCACUGAGUCAUUCCAUCAGCCCACAAGCAUUCUACUUUUGUCAGUAUUGCAUAGCAUGCAAACAGGAAAAUGUUAGGAUUCUGAUUGUUUCACCAGUGAGCUGACUAGUGACUUAAUAACUGUCUUGUGGUUUCAUAUUUGCCAUUGUAAAAUAAAUAUUCAACAAUUAUUUUUUUUCCUCAGAGUUGCUUUAGGUUUAGGAAUCUCAAGUGUUUCUAAACUUUGCAGGCAGUUAGUUCAGCAGGAGUCAGUACCUGACAUGGCUCGAGACUGUUAGUGUUACUCAUAGAGAUGCAUGAGUGAACCCAAUAAAAACCUUGUCAAGUAUUUGUAGAGUGGUGAUGCACAAGGAGUCUUUAAUUCCAGACCCCAGGCGGUAGAGGCAGCUGGAUCUCUGGGUUUGAGCCCAGCCUGGUCUACAGACCUAGUUCCAGGCAUCCAGGGCUACACAGAGAAACACUGUCUUGAAAAACUUAUAUUC
rnacentral:lncRNA from 1 species